rnacentral:rRNA from 1 species
UGACUCUGGGAUAAGCCCGGGAAACUGGGUCUAAUACCGGAUAGGAACGUCCACCGCAUGGUGGUUGUUGGAAAGAUUUAUCGGUCAUGGAUGGACUCGCGGCCUAUCAGCUUGUUGGUGAGGUAAUGGCUCACCAAGGCGACGACGGGUAGCCGGCCUGAGAGGGUGACCGGCCACACUGGGACUGAGACACGGCCCAGACUCCUACGGGAGGCAGCAGUGGGGAAUAUUGCACAAUGGGCGAAAGCCUGAUGCAGCGACGCCGCGUGAGGGAUGACGGCCUUCGGGUUGUAAACCUCUUUCAGUAGGGAAGAAGCGAAAGUGACGGUACCUGCAGAAGAAGCACCGGCUAACUACGUGCCAGCAGCCGCGGUAAUACGUAGGGUGCGAGCGUUAUCCGGAAUUAUUGGGCGUAAAGAGCUCGUAGGCGGUUUGUCGCGUCUGUCGUGAAAGUCCGGGGCUUAACCCCGGAUCUGCGGUGGGUACGGGCAGACUAGAGUGCAGUAGGGGAGACUGGAAUUCCUGGUGUAGCGGUGGAAUGCGCAGAUAUCAGGAGGAACACCGAUGGCGAAGGCAGGUCUCUGGGCUGUAACUGACGCUGAGGAGCGAAAGCAUGGGGAGCGAACAGGAUUAGAUACCCUGGUAGUCCAUGCCGUAAACGUUGGGCACUAGGUGUGGGGACCAUUCCACGGUUUCCGCGCCGCAGCUAACGCAUUAAGUGCCCCGCCUGGGGAGUACGGCCGCAAGGCUAAAACUCAAAGGAAUUGACG